UGUGCAACCUGAUCAGUUUGAACUCUGGAAGAUCAAAUUAUUUAUUUAUUUGUUUGUCUUUCCUUCUCAAAGACAGUUAAUUACUGAAGCACCGAGAACAUUUUGUAUUCCUGCUUCGCGACUGUGCCUUGCAAAGCUGAGCCUAAUGAGAACAAGUUCUCACCCCAGUUCUGAACUUGCUGACUUCUCUGCUUGGAAACCCGAGCAAAGCGUCUGAACAUUGUCUUGAUCUUUCCAGGUUGAUCAUCUAAUUUGAUUUGCUGAGAGAGUCCUGGAUUUAUAUCUACACAUCUUGUAUCUCAGAAAGGUUUCCAGUCAAGGAAACUUGAGGAUUGUUUUCCACUCUAGCUGCAAAGGGAGAAAUUGAUUCAUUUUGGCUUUAACUCUGGAACUACUGCAGUCUCCUGCUAAAGCUAAUUUCACUGUGCUCCUGGGUAUAAUCAUCUCAUGAAAGGCAUGCUCUUUUGUCCACUUUCAACUUGAGGAAAUUUUGCUGCAGAGAAAGGAGAUGCAUGAAGGGCUUCUUAGAAACUGCAGGCCGCUUCAGGAAUGGUGGCUCCUAUGUCCACUUUUCAGCUGUAACAUUGGGAAUCCUGGCUAGAGUACCUGAGGAUUCAUCUGAACUCCAUGGAAUCUGGAAGCCUGAUCAACAGACCAGUAAAUACCUAUGGCAUAGCUUGCUCAGGGGAGUCACCUCAGUAUUUAGGGCCACAGAGAAGCUGUAA
rnacentral:lncRNA from 1 species